GCCCCGUUCGUCUAACGGUUAGGACGGCAGAUUUUCAUUCUGUAAAUAGGAGUUCGAUUCUCCUACGGGGUA
rnacentral:tRNA from 1 species